AUUGAACGCUGGCGGCAGGCCUAACACAUGCAAGUCGAGCGGUAACACAGAGGAGCUUGCUCCUUGGGUGACGAGCGGCGGACGGGUGAGUAAUGCCUGGGGAUCUGCCCGAUAGAGGGGGAUAACUACGGGAAACUGUAGCUAAUACCGCAUAAUGUCUACGGACCAAAGUGGGGGCUCUUCGGACCUCAUGCUAUCGGAUGAACCCAGGUGGGGUUAGAUAGUUGGUGAGGUAAUGGCUCACCACGGCGACGAUCUCUAACUGGUUUGGGAGAAUGCCCAGUCACACUGGAACUGAGACACGGUCCAGACUCCUACGGGAGGCAGCAGUGGGGAAUAUUGCACAAUGGGCGCAAGCCUGAUGCAGCCAUGCCGCGUGUGUGAAGAAGGCCUUCGGGUUGUAAAGCACUUUCAGCGGGGAGGAAGGGUCACUAGUUAAUACCUAGUGGCAUUGACGUUACUCGCAGAAGAAGCACCGGCUAACUCCGUGCCAGCAGCCGCCGCCGUAA
rnacentral:rRNA from 1 species